rnacentral:rRNA from 1 species
UGGGGAAUUUUGGACAAUGGGGGCAACCCUGAUCCAGCCAUUCCGCGUGAGUGAAGAAGGCCUUCGGGUUGUAAAGCUCUUUCAGCAGGAACGAAACGGUCAUUUUUAAUAAAGAUGGCUAAUGACGGUACCUGAAGAAGAAGCACCGGCUAACUACGUGCCAGCAGCCGCGGUAAUACGUAGGGUGCGAGCGUUAAUCGGAAUUACUGGGCGUAAAGCGUGCGCAGGCGGUUCCAUAAGACAGAUGUGAAAUCCCCGGGCUCAACCUGGGAACUGCGUUUGUGACUGUGGGACUGGAGUGUGGCAGAGGGGGGUGGAAUUCCACGUGUAGCAGUGAAAUGCGUAGAGAUGUGGAGGAACACCGAUGGCGAAGGCAGCCCCCUGGGUCAACACUGACGCUCAUGCACGAAAGCGUGGGGAGCAAACAGG